rnacentral:rRNA from 1 species
UACGUAGGGUGCAAGCGUUGUCCGGAAUUAUUGGGCGUAAAGAGCGUGUAGGCGGCCCGAUUAGUCCGCUGUGAAAGUCCAGGGCUCAACCCUGGAAUGCCGGUGGAUACUGUCGGGCUAGAGUCCGGAAGGGGCGAGUGGAAUUCCUGGUGUAGCGGUGAAAUGCGCAGAUAUCAGGAGGAACACCAAUGGCGAAGGCAGCUCGCUGGGACGUUACUGACGCUGAGACGCGAAAGCGUGGGGAGCAAACAGG